UUUCAACCAUCCAUCGAGGUAAACUUGGUUGAAAUCAGGGUUGGAUUUUUCUUUCUCAGCCCGGGUAUCAAGGUAAACUUGGUUGGAUUUAGGGUUAGAUUUUUCAUUUUCGGCCUGGGCAUCUUUCAACCAUCCAUCAAGGUAAACUUGGUUGGAGUUAGGGUUGGAUUUCACUUUUACGGCUCGAGUGUCUUUCACCCAUCCAUCAACGUAAACUUGGUUGGAGUUAGGGUUGGCGUUUCCUUUCUCAGCUUUAUCAUCUUUCAACCAUCCAUCAAGGUAAACUUGGUUGGAUUCAGGUCUGGGUUGGCUUUUGCCAUCAAGGUAAACUUGGUUGGAUUCAGGGUUGGAUUUUUCUUUCUCAGCCCGAGUAUCUUUCAACCAUCCAUCGAGGUAAAUUUGGUUGGAGUCAGUGUUGACUUUUUCUUUCUCAGCCCGAGUAUCUUUCAACCAUCCAUCAAGGUAAACUUGGUUGGAGCCAAGGUUAGAUUUUGCGUUUUGAGCUCGGGUAUCUUUCAACCAUCCAUCAAGGUAAACUUGGUUGGAGUCAGGGUUGGCUUUUUCUUUCUCGACUCUAGUAUCUUUCAACCAUCCAUCGAGGUAAACUUGGUUGAAAUCAGGGUUGGAUUUUUCUUUCUCAGCCCGGGUAUCUUUCAACCAUCCAUCAAGGUAAACUUGGUUGGAGUCUGGGUUGGCUUUUGCUUUCUCAGCCCGAGUAUCUUU